rnacentral:rRNA from 1 species
CCUACGGGUGGCAGCAGUGGGGAAUAUUGCGCAAUGGGGGCAACCCUGACGCAGCAACGCCGCGUGAUCGAAGAAGGCAUUCGGGUUGUAAAGAUCUUUAAUCGGGGACGCAUUUUGACGGUACCCGAAGAUUAAGCUCCGGCUUACUACGGGCCAGCACCCGCGGUAAUACGUAGGGAGCAAGAGUUAUCCGGAUUUACUGGGUGUAAAAGGGGUGGAGGCGGGCAUGGAAGCCAUAAGUGAAAUCUGGGGGGCUAACCCCAAACCAGCGUAUGGAACUGCGUAUCUUGAGUGUUGGAGAGGCAGGCGGAAUUACCAGUGUAGCGGUGAAAUGCGUAGAUAUUGGGAGGAACACCAGUGGCGAAGGCGGCUUGCUGGACAUUAACUGACGCUGAGGCGCGAAAGCGUGGGGAGCAAACAGGAUUAGAUACCCGAGUAGUC